GGGGCUGUGGCGCAGUGGUAGCGCAUCUGUCUGGCAGACAGAGGGUCAGGGGUUCGAAUCCCCUCAGCUCCA
rnacentral:tRNA from 2 species